rnacentral:rRNA from 1 species
CUACUAGACGACGACCGGCGCACGGGUGAGUAACGCGUAUGUAAUCUGCCUUGUACAGAGGGAUAGCCCAGAGAAAUUUGGAUUAAUACCUCAUAGUAUUACUGAGUCGCAUGAUUUGGUAAUUAAAGCUCCGGCGGUACAAGAUGAACAUGCGUGACAUUAGCUAGUUGGUAAGGUAACGGCUUACCAAGGCUACGAUGUCUAGGGGUUCUGAGAGGAUGAUCCCCCACACUGGUACUGAGACACGGACCAGACUCCUACGGGAGGCAGCAGUGAGGAAUAUUGGUCAAUGGACGCAAGUCUGAACCAGCCAUCCCCGCGUGAAGGAUGACUGCCCUAUGGGU